GUUUGGGGACAGCAGCCUUUCUCUGAGGGGGGACAAUAACAGGGGCUGCUCAUCUCACUGCUCUGGUGCAGGAGUGACUGAGCCCUGGGUCAGGCAAGAGCCUGGGCAGGGACUGAGGGAUAUUUCUUGUGAGGGGAGGGGAUCGGGGUCUGCUGGAUGGGAGAGGGAUGGCUGGGUAUGAUCAUGCAGGGUAGCAAAGCCCUGCUGACCCCACCUGCCUGCCUUGUUCUUGCUUCCCAAGGGACCAGGCCUAGACCAGACUCAUCUCAACUCACACCCAGUUCACCAUGGAGUCCAAAGACAUUGCCAUUGCAUUCGCCGUUGGAAUUGUCGUAGGAGCUGCAGUCGUGGCAGCAGCAGGUGGUACGCCCGUGUCUUUCUGUGCAGUGGUAGCUACCAAGACCAUAUCUCUUGCCAUGUCUUUUGCAAUUGGGCGAAAACAAAAGGCCUGACUCUGCCCUGCAAUCAACAGCAGACACCAUACUGUCCUUUGGAAGAAUUCCAGGUCAUCACAGCAGAGAACAGAAGCACAUUUCAUCCUUCCACACAGCCUGAUUCGCUUCUUCCCACUGCUGGAACUGGAAAACCCCGCUGACCCCCAGC